rnacentral:rRNA from 1 species
ACGGGUGAGUAACGCGUGGGAAUGUGCCCUUCUCUACGGAAUAGUCCCGGGAAACUGGGUUUAAUACCGUAUACGCCCUUCGGGGGAAAGAUUUAUCGGAGAAGGAUCAGCCCGCGUCUGAUUAGGUAGUUGGUGGGGUAAUGGCCUACCAAGCCUACGAUCAGUAGCUGGUUUUAGAGGAUGAUCAGCCACACUGGGACUGAGACACGGCCCAGACUCCUACGGGAGGCAGCAGUGGGGAAUCUUAGACAAUGGGCGCAAGCCUGAUCUAGCCAUGCCGCGUGAGUGAUGAAGGCCUUAGGGUCGUAAAACUCUUUCGCCAGGGAUGAUAAUGACAGUACCUGGUAAAGAAGCCCCGGCUAACUCCGUGCCAGCAGCCGCGGUAAUACGGAGGGGGCUAGCGUUGUUCGGAAUUACUGGGCGUAAAGCGCGCGUAGGCGGGCUAUUAAGUCAGGGGUGAAAUCCCGGGGCUCAACCCCGGAACUGCCUUUGAUACUGGUAGUCUUGAGUUCGAGAGAGGUGAGUGGAAUUCCGAGUGUAGAGGUGAAAUUCGUAGAUAUUCGGAGGAACACCAGUGGCGAAGGCGGCUCACUGGCUCGAUACUGACGCUGAGGUGCGAAAGUGUGGGGAGCAAACAGGAUUAGAUACC